GCCAGGCAUGGUGGUGCAUGCCUGUAAUCCCAGCAACUCAGGAGGCUGAGACAAGAGGAUCACGAGUUCAAAGCCAGUCUCAGUAACUUAGCAAGACCCUGUUUCAA
rnacentral:sRNA from 1 species